GACGAACGCUGGCGGCGUGCUUAACACAUGCAAGUCGAACGGAAAGGCCCUGCUUUUGUGGGGUGCUCGAGUGGCGAACGGGUGAGUAACACGUGAGUAACCUGCCCUUGACUUUGGGAUAACUUCAGGAAACUGGGGCUAAUACCGGAUAGGAGCUCCUGCUGCAUGGUGGGGGUUGGAAAGUUUCGGCGGUUGGGGAUGGACUCGCGGCUUAUCAGCUUGUUGGUGGGGUAGUGGCUUACCAAGGCUUUGACGGGUAGCCGGCCUGAGAGGGUGACCGGCCACAUUGGGACUGAGAUACGGCCCAGACUCCUACGGGAGGCAGCAGUGGGGAAUAUUGCACAAUGGGCGGAAGCCUGAUGCAGCAACGCCGCGUGCGGGAUGACGGCCUUCGGGUUGUAAACCGCUUUCGCCUGUGACGAAGCGUGAGUGACGGUAAUGGGUAAAGAAGCACCGGCUAACUACGUGCCAGCAGCCGCGGUGAUACGUAGGGUGCGAGCGUUGUCCGGAUUUAUUGGGCGUAAAGGGCUCGUAGGUGGUUGAUCGCGUCGGAAGUGUAAUCUUGGGGCUUAACCCUGAGCGUGCUUUCGAUACGGGUUGACUUGAGGAAGGUAGGGGAGAAUGGAAUUCCUGGUGGAGCGGUGGAAUGCGCAGAUAUCAGGAGGAACACCAGUGGCGAAGGCGGUUCUCUGGGCCUUUCCUGACGCUGAGGAGCGAAAGCGUGGGGAGCGAACAGGCUUAGAUACCCUGGUAGUCCACGCUGUAAACGGUGGGUACUAGGUGUGGGGUCCAUUCCACGGGUUCCGUGCCGUAGCUAACGCUUUAAGUACCCCGCCUGGGGAGUACGGCCGCAAGGCUAAAACUCAAAGGAAUUGACGGGGCCCCGCACAAGCGGCGGAGCAUGCGGAUUAAUUCGAUGCAACGCGUAGAACCUUACCUGGGUUUGACAUGGAUCGGGAGUGCUCAGAGAUGGGUGUGCCUCUUUUGGGGUCGGUUCACAGGUGGUGCAUGGCUGUCGUCAGCUCGUGUCGUGAGAUGUUGGGUUAAGUCCCGCAACGAGCGCAACCCUUGUUCACUGUUGCCAGCACGUUAUGGUGGGGACUCAGUGGAGACCGCCGGGGCCAACUCGGAGGAAGGUGGGGAUGACGUCAAGUCAUCAUGCCCCUUAUGUCCAGGGCUUCACGCAUGCUACAAUGGCUGGUACAGAGAGUGGCGAGCCUGUGAGGGUGAGCGAAUCUCGGAAAGCCGGUCUCAGUUCGGAUUGGGGUCUGCAACUCGACCUCAUGAAGUCGGAGUCGCUAGUAAUCGCAGAUCAGCAACGCUGCGGUGAAUACGUUCCCGGGGCU
rnacentral:rRNA from 1 species